CCCUUAGAUGUCCUGGGCUGCACGCGCGCUACACUGAUGCGUCCAAUAAGCACCUAACCUAAUCCGAAGGGACCGGGUAACCUUAGCAAAGCGCAUCGUGAUGGGGAUAGAUUAUUGCAAUUAUUAGUCUUGAACGAGGAAUUCCUAGUAAGCGCAAGUCAUCAGCUUGUGUUGAUUACGUCCCUGCCCUUUGUACACACCGCCCGUCGCUCCUACCGAUUGAAUGUUCCGGUGAGCUCUUCGGACUGCGCGGUCUGCAGUUUCUGCGUUCCGUGCGGAAAGUUGCGCAAACCUUAACAUUUAGAGGAAGGAGAAGUCGUAACA
rnacentral:rRNA from 1 species